rnacentral:rRNA from 1 species
UACGUAGGGUGCAAGCGUUAUUCGGAAUUACUGGGCGUAAAGCGUGCGCAGGCGGUGAUGUAAGUCAGGUGUGAAAUCCCCGGGCUUAACCUGGGAACUGCAUUUGUGACUGCAUCGCUGGAGUGCGGCAGAGGGGGAUGGAAUUCCGCGUGUAGCAGUGAAAUGCGUAGAUAUGCGGAGGAACACCGAUGGCGAAGGCAAUCCCCUGGGCCUGCACUGACGCUCAUGCACGAAAGCGUGGGGAGCAAACAGG